GACGAACGCUGGCGGCGUGCUUAACACAUGCAAGUCGAACGGAAAGGCCCUGCUUUUGUGGGGUGCUCGAGUGGCGAAAGGGUGAGUAACACGUGUGUAACCUGCCCUUGACUUUGGGAUAUCUUCAGGAAACUGGGGCUAAUACCGGAUAUGAGCCCCGGCUGCACGGCGGGGGUUGGAAAGUUUCGGCGGUUGGGGAUGGACUCGCGGCUUAUCAGCUUGUUGGUGGGGUAGUGGCUUACCAAGGCUUUGACGGGUAGCCGGCCUGAGAGGGUGACCGGCCACAUUGGGACUGAGAUACGGCCCAGACUCCUACGGGAGGCAGCAGUGGGGAAUAUUGCACAAUGGGCGGAAGCCUGAUGCAGCAACGCCGCGUGCGGGACGACGGCCUUCGGGUUGUAAACCGCUUUCGGCUGUGACGAAGCGUGAGUGACGGUAAUGGGUAAAGAAGCACCGGCUAACUACGUG
rnacentral:rRNA from 1 species